GCAAGUCGAACGAGAACGGGUAUUAGCUUGCUAAUACUGUCAGCUAAGUGGCGCACGGGUGAGUAAUAUAUAGUUAAUCUGCCCCAAAGAAGAGAAUAAUUGUUGGAAACGACUUGUAAUGCUCUAUAUGCCUUUAUUACAAAAGUAAGCAAGGGAAACAUUUAUGGCUUUGGGAUGAGACUGUACGGUAUCAGUUAGUUGGUGAGGUAAUGGCUCACCAAGACAAUGACGCCUAACUGGUUUGAGAGGAUGAUC
rnacentral:rRNA from 1 species